GGAUCCUGCCAGUAGUUAUACGCUCGUCUUCACGAUUAAGCCAUGCAUGUCUAAGUGUAAAUCACUGGUGAACUGCGAACGGCUCACUAUAUCAGUUAUGAUUUAUUUGGAGGUAUGGACUACUCGGAUAACCGUAGUAACACUGUGGCUAAUACGUGCGCGGUGUCCCGACGUAUUCGGGAGGGAUGUACGUAAUAGGUAUAAACGCUAACCUAUCACGAACAAUUUUCCACUGGUUGGUACUUACCCGUGCCUUCCAACAAUUGUCGUGAUAGAAACAGUGUUGAAUCAUAUUACGCGUCGAAUCAUAGGGCUCAAAAAGCUAAUGAUGCUCCAUUCAAAUUUCUGUCUCAUCAACUUGAUGGUAGGAUAGUGGCCUACCAUGGUCGUGACGGGUAACGGGGAAUUAGCGUUCGAUUCCGGAGAGGGAGCCUGAGAGACGGCUACCACUACUACGGGAGGCAGCAGGCGCGCAACUUACCCAAUCCUGAUCCAGGGAGGUAGUGACGAAACAUACCACGGCAAUAAUCGAAAAGAUUUACGACGUGGAAUGCAUUCAAUUUGUGUCAUUGAAUGAUGAUCUAUUGGAGGGCAAGGCUGGUGCCAGCAGCCGCGGUAACACCAGCUCCAAUAGCGUAUACUAUUAUUGUUGCGGUUAAAACGUUCCGUAGUCGGAUUCUAGUGUUGUGAUGUAUAAUCGUAUCACUCUGCCAUGUCAUUAUCCCGUCAAAGAGGUCCAACCGACUCUGCGAUGGUCUGGUGACAGGUUACCAUGACAAAAUUAUGGUGUUCAAAGCAAGCACGAUGUUGCUCUGAAUACACAAGCAUGGGACAACAACAAAGGGGCUUCAGUCCGUGGUGCGUUGGCAUAAGACACUGAAGAAACUAUUAAGAGGAACAGUCGGGGGUAGUCGCAUUCCAUUGCUAGAGGUGAAAUGUGUUGACCAAUGGAAGACGAACAAUAGCGAAAGCAUCUACCAAGAAUGUUUUCAUUGGCCAAGAACGAAAGUUGGGGUAGCAAAGACGAUUUGGCACCGUCGUAGUCCCAACCGUAAACAAUGCCGACUGAGGGUUGGUGGACGUGUUUUCGAUAGCUCUAUCAGCACCCUAUGAGAAAUCACAAGUUUCUGGGUUCCGGGGGGAGUACGGUCGCAAGGCUGAAACUUAAAGGAAUUGGCGGAAGGGCACCACAAGGCGUGGAGCUUGCGGCUUAAUUUGACUCAACGCAGGAAAACCUACCAGUCCCGUACAUAGGGAGGAUUGACAGAUUGAUAGCUCUUUCUUGAUUCUAUGGGAGGUGGUGCAUGGCCGUUUCUAGUUCGUGGGAUGACUCGUCAGGUUAAUUCCGAUAACGAGCGAGACCUCAACCUCUAUAGAACCUCAUGUGGAUUACAUGGUAUCAUAGAGGGACGCUUGGUGGCAAACCAAGGGAAGCAUGAGGCCAUAGCAGGUCUGUGAUGCCCUUAGAUGUUCUGGGCUGCACGCGCGCUACAAUGAUGUACACAACGUGGUCUCACUUAGCCGAGAGGCUUGGAUUCUCUUGUAAUGUACAUCGUGAUGGGGAUAGAUCAUUGUAAUUGUUGAUCUUGAACGAGGAAUGCCUAGUAAGCGCGAGUCAUCAGCUCGCGCUGAUUUCGUCCCUGCCCUUUGUACACACCGCCCGUCGCUCCUGCCAAUGGGUGGGGUGGUAAGAAGGUGGAAUGGACCAUGUAUAUAGAGUCUCUGAUCUCCUUCGAGCUAUCCUAUCUAGAGGAAGGAGAAGUCGUAACAAGGUUUCCGUAGGUGAACCUGCAG
rnacentral:rRNA from 1 species